rnacentral:rRNA from 1 species
GGCCGCGGGUAAUUCGAUUACUGCUCANUAACACGUGGAUAACCUGCCCUUGGGACCGGCAUAGCCCCGGGAAACUGGGGAUAAUUCCGGAUAACGCAUAUUUGCUGGAAUGCUUUAUGCGUCAAAAGGAUUCGUCUGCCCAAGGAUGGGUCUGCGGCCUAUCAGGUAGUAGUGGGUGUAAUGUACCUACUAGCCAGCGACGGGUACGGGUUGUGAGAGCAAGAGCCCGGAGAUGGAUUCUGAGACAUGAAUCCAGGCCCUACGGGGCGCAGCAGGCGCGAAAACUUUACAAUGCGGGAAACCGUGAUAAGGGGACACCGAGUGCCAGCAUCAUAUGCUGGCUGUCCGGAUGUGUAAAAUACAUCCGUUAGCAAGGGCCGGGCAAGACCGGUGCCAGCCGCCGCGGUAACACCGGCGGCCCGAGUGGUGAUCGUGAUUAUUGGGUCUAAAGGGUCCGUAGCCGGUUUGGUCAGUCCUCCGGGGAAAUCUGAUAGCUCAACUAUUAGGCUUUCGGGGGAUACUACCAGACUUGGAACCGGGAGAGGUAAGAGGUACUACAGGGGUAGGAGUGAAAUCUUGUAAUCCCUGUGGGACCACCUGUGGCGAAGGCGUCUUACCAGAACGGGUUCGACGGUGAGGGACGAAAGCUGGG